GAUGAACGCUGGCGGCGUGCCUAAUACAUGCAAGUCGAGCGAACAGACGAGGAGCUUGCUCCUCUGAUGUUAGCGGCGGACGGGUGAGUAACACGUGGAUAACCUACCUAUAAGACUGGGAUAACUUCGGGAAACCGGAGCUAAUACCGGAUAACAUGUUGAACCGCAUGGUUCAACAGUGAAAGACGGUCUUGCUGUCACUUAUAGAUGGAUCCGCGCCGCAUUAGCUAGUUGGUAAGGUAACGGCUUACCAAGGCAACGAUGCGUAGCCGACCUGAGAGGGUGAUCGGCCACACUGGAACUGAGACACGGUCCAGACUCCUCCGGGAGGCAGCAGUAGGGAAUCUUCCGCAAUGGGCGAAAGCCUGACGGAGCAACGCCGCGUGAGUGAAGAAGGUCUUCGGAUCGUAAAACUCUGUUAUUAGGGAAGAACAAAUGUGUAAGUAACUAUGCACGUCUUGACGGUACCUAAUCAGAAAGCCACGGCUAACUACGUG
rnacentral:rRNA from 1 species